rnacentral:rRNA from 1 species
GGCGAACGCUGGCGGCGUGCUUAACACAUGCAAGUCGAACGGUGAAAGCGGAGCUUGCUCCGCUGGAUCAGUGGCGAACGGGUGAGUAACACGUGGGCAACCUGCCCCUGACUUCGGGAUAACUCCUCGAAAGAGGUGCUAAUACCGGAUACGAAUCCUGCAGGCAUCUGCGGGAUUGGAAAGUUUUUCGGUCAGGGAUGGGCCCGGGGCCUAUCAGCUUGUUGGUGAGGUAGUGGCUCACCAAGGCGACGACGGGUAGCCGGCCUGAGAGGGGGACCGGCCACACUGGGAAUGAGACACGGCCCAGACUCCUACGGGAGGCAGCAGUGGGGAAUAUUGCGCAAUGGGCGCAAGCCUGAUGCAGCAACGCCGCGUGAGGGAGGACGGCCUUCUGGUUGUAAACCUCUUUUAGUAGGGAAGAAGCGAAAGUGACGGUACCUGCAGAAAAAGCACCGGCUAACUACGUGCCAGCCGCCGCGGUAA